rnacentral:rRNA from 1 species
GAAAAGAAACCAACAGGGAUUGCUCUAGUAACGGCGAGUGAAGCAGCAAUAGCUCAAAUUUGAAAUCUGGCGUCUUCGACGUCCGAGUUGUAAUUUGUAGAGGAUGCUUCUGAGUAACCACCGACCUAAGUUCCUUGGAACAGGACGUCAUAGAGGGUGAGAAUCCCGUAUGCGGUCGGAAAGGUGCUCUAUACGUAGCUCCUUCGACGAGUCGAGUUGUUUGGGAAUGCAGCUCUAAAUGGGAGGUAAAUUUCUUCUAAAGCUAAAUAUUGGCCAGAGACCGAUAGCGCACAAGUAGAGUGAUCGAAAGAUGAAAAGCACUUUGGAAAGAGAGUUAAAAAGCACGUGAAAUUGUUAAAAGGGAAGGGAUUGCAACCAGACUUGCUCGCGGUGUUCCGCCGGUCUUCUGACCGGUCUACUCGCCGCGUUGCAGGCCAGCAUCGUCUGGUGCCGCUGGAUAAGACUUGAGGAAUGUAGCUCCCUCGGGAGUGUUAUAGCCUCUUGUGAUGCAGCGAGCGCCGGGCGAGGUCCGCGCUUCGGCU